rnacentral:rRNA from 1 species
CAGCCGCCGCGGGAAUACGGAGGGUGCGAGCGUUAAUCGGAAUUACUGGGCGUAAAGCGUACGCAGGCGGUUUGUUAAGUCAGAUGUGAAAUCCCCGAGCUUAACUCGGGAACUGCAUUUGAAACUGGCAGGCUAGAGUCUCGUAGAGGGGGGUAGAAUUCCAGGUGUAGCGGUGAAAUGCGUAGAGAUCUGGAGGAAUACCGGUGGCGAAGGCGGCCCCCUGGACGAAGACUGACGCUCAGGUACGAAAGCGUGGGGAGCAAACAGGAUUAGAUACCCGAGUAGUCCCUGUCUCUUAUAC